CCUACGGGAGGCAGCAGUGAGGAAUAUUGGUCAAUGGGAGAGAUCCUGAACCAGCCAAGCCGCGUGAGGGAAGACGGCCCUAUGGGUUGUAAACCUCUUUUGUCGGAGAACAAAACCCGGGACGUGUCCCGGACUGCGUGUAUCCGAAGAAAAAGCAUCGGCUAACUCCGUGCCAGCAGCCGCGGUAAUACGGAGGAUGCGAGCGUUAUCCGGAUUUAUUGGGUUUAAAGGGUGCGUAGGCGGAUUGAUAAGUUAGAGGUGAAAUGUCCGAGCUCAACUCGGGAACUGCCUCUAAUACUGUUGAUCUAGAGAGUAGAUGCGGUAGGCGGAAUGUAUGGUGUAGCGGUGAAAUGCUUAGAGAUCAUACAGAACACCGAUUGCGAAGGCAGCUUACCAAUCUAUAUCUGACGUUGAGGCACGAAAGCGUGGGGAGCAAACAGGAUUAGAUACCCUUGUAGUC
rnacentral:rRNA from 1 species